GACAAACGCUGGCGGCGUGCCUAAUACAUGCAAGUAGAACGCAGUUGCGAACGGGUGAGUAACGCGUAGGUAACUGCCUGGUAGCGGGGGAUAACUAUUGGAAACGAUAGCUAAUACCGCAUACCACCAGGUGGACCUGCGUUGUAUUAGCUAGUUGGUGGGGUAACGGCUCACCAAGGCAAAGAUACAUAGCCGACCUGGGAGGGGGAUUGGCCACAAGGGGACUGAGACACGGCCCAGAAUCCUACGGGAGGCAGCAGUAGGGAAUCCUCGGCAAUGGACCGAAGGCUGACCGAGCAACGCCGCGGGAGGGAAGAAGGUUUUCGGAUCGUAAAGCUCUGUUGUAAGAGAAGCGGUAUCUUACCAGAAAGGGACGGCUAACUACGUGCCAGCAGCCGCGGUAAUUC
rnacentral:rRNA from 1 species